UUGGGGAAUCAUCAUAAAGACUGUUUGCCCGAUUUCCAACAUUUGUCUACUGUCUUCAUGAGUUCAGACAGACCCACCUAGCAGCUCUGGGGCUCACCUGAGGUCCAUGCCCUACAUGUCAGGAGUCAGACUUGAAACCCUUCUCGUGUGAAAAUCUGGAAGCUGCAAACAGCCCAUUUUACACCUGAGUACCCCACCCAUAGGUUGCUGAGGCAACUGCUGCUUACACGUGGAGAAAAAACUGACUCAGAGCUUGAACGGUUUGAAGUGUGCGAGAACCAUGAGAUACAGGUGAAUAUUCAGGAGGGAGCCCAUGGCCUGGAGAGGAAGCUGGUGACCAGGGAAGAGCAGAAGAGUGAAAUCUGCUGCCAUUUGCCAUGGCAGACUGCCAUGGGCACAAUGGCUAACUCUGCAGGUGCAGUGAUCAUGACUGAGAGACAGAAACCCACGUGACAGCAGCCCCCUGGGGCAGCUUAGUGGUCACACUAACUCUGGAACUUUGGAAUUCUGGAAGGGUUUCAUUGUCAUUUUUAUCUGGGACCCCAACCAGAUAAUGAAAGUUCCCACUAAAAAAGAACUUGAAAUGACUAAUAUUUCCAAAGUAUAUAGAAAAUUAAUGAGAAAAGAUUGUGCCCACAGAAGAAGACUCUAGACCCAGGUGAAAGGACAUUCACCUUGCAAAGAGCACACAGAACCAAGUAAACAGACACGGAUACUCCUGGGAUAAUAAAUAACAAUGAAAUGAAUUGGUUAAGAGCUUC
rnacentral:lncRNA from 1 species